GAACGCUGGCGGCGUGCUAACACAUGCAAGUCGAACGCGAAAGGGACUUCGGUCCUGAGUAAAGUGGCGCACGGGUGAGUAACGCGUGGAUAAUCUGCCCUUAUGAUCGGGAUAACAGUUGGAAACGGCUGCUAAUACCGGAUACGCUCAAAAUGAACUUUUUGAGGAAAGAUGGCCUCUGCUUGCAUGCUAUCGCGUAAGGAUGAGUCCGCGUCCCAUUAGCUUGUUGGCGGGGUAACGGCCCACCAAGGCAACGAUGGGUAGCCGAUUUGAGAGGAUGAUCGGCCACACUGGAACUGAAACACGGUCCAGACUCCUACGGGAGGCAGCAGUGGGGAAUAUUGCGCAAUGGGCGAAAGCCUGACGCAGCGACGCCGCGUGAGGGAUGAAAGGUUUUCGGAUCGUAAACCUCUGUCAGAAGGGAAGAAACUACAUUGUGCUAAUCAGCAGUGUACUGACGGUACCUUCAAAGGAAGCACCGGCUAACUCCGUGCCAGCCGCUGC
rnacentral:rRNA from 1 species